CGCGGCCUAUCAGCUUGUUGGUGGGGUAACGGCCCACCAAGGCUUCGACGGGUAGCUGGUCUGAGAGGACGAUCAGCCACACUGGGACUGAGACACGGCCCAGACUCCUACGGGAGGCAGCAGUAGGGAAUCUUGCGCAAUGGGGGGAAACCCUGACGCAGCAACGCCGCGUGCGGGAAGAAGGCCUUAGGGUUGUAAACCGCUUUCAGUAGGGACGAAUUCAGACGGUACCUGCAGAAGAAGCCCCGGCCAACUACGUGCCAGCAGCCGCGGUAACACGUAGGGGGCGAGCGUUGUCCGGAUUUAUUGGGCGUAAAGAGCUCGUAGGCGGCUCGGUAAGUCGGCUGUGAAAGCUCCGGGCUCAACCCGGAGAAGCCAGCCGAUACUGCCGUGGCUAGAGUCCGGUAGAGGAGCGUGGAAUUCCCAGUGUAGCGGUGAAAUGCGCAGAUAUUGGGAGGAACACCGGUAGCGAAGGCGGCGCUCUGGGCCGGUACUGACGCUGAGGAGCGAAAGCGUGGGUAGCAAACAGGAUUAGAUACCCUGGUAGUCCACGCCGUAAACGUUGGGCACUAGGUGUGGGUUCUUAUCAACGGGAUCCGUGCCGUAGCUAACGCAUUAAGUGCCCCGCCUGGGGAGUACGG
rnacentral:rRNA from 1 species